rnacentral:ribozyme from 1 species
UUUUUUUUUUUUUUUUUUUUUUUUUUUUGGUUCUCA